GAAAUGCGAUAAGUAAAGUGAAUUGCAGAAUUCAGUGAAUCAUCGAAUCUUUGAACGCACCUUGCGCUCCUUGGUAUUCCUUGGAGCAUGCCUGUUUGAGUAUCAUGAAAUCUUCAAAGUAAAUCUUUUGUUAACUCAAUUGGUUUCUACUUUGGUAUUGGAGGUCUUUGCAGCUUCACACCUGCUCCUCUUUGUUCAUUAGCUGGAUCUCAGUGUUAUGCUUGGUUCCACUCGGCGUGAUAAGUUAUCUAUCGCUGAGGACACUGUAAAAGGUGGCCAAGGUAAAUGCAGAUGAACCGCUUCUAAUAGUCCAUUGACUUGGACAAUACUUUUAUGAUCUGAUCUCAAAUCAGGUAGGACUACCCGCUGAACUUAAGC
rnacentral:misc_RNA from 1 species